rnacentral:lncRNA from 10 species
ACUCGUGAACGCGAGCGCAGGCGCGCCGGAGGAAACGGAGGCUGCGCUUGCGUAUAGCUGUCCAGCGACACCAUCAUGCAUUCAUUUCUCCAACAAACAUUUUCAUGGGCUCUUGCUCUAUACUGGGGAUGUAGUGGUAAAUGAAAUGGACGAGGCCCUGCCCUCGUGGAACUUACAGUCUGGCAAAGGAAACAGACAAUAAAAUUCUCAGUUGUCUAAGGAGGCAGAGAUGCAUGGGGAGAGGAUCAGAGUAGGGAUGCGGAAGCAGCGAGUGGUCAGGAGUGUGCGUGCCAAAAGGCAGGAGACCUGUGGGACGUGGGGGCAGCUGGGGCCGGAACUUGCGCUGGAGGAACACCCCUUGCCUGCUGGGGCGAGAAGAGGACCCUUUCCUUGGGUGAAAUUCCCCAUAUUGUUAAAAGGACAAUUAAAGAAAUGAAAGAGAGGUCACCUGGGUGAAUAGGCAACUUAGAUGGGCCUCCCUGUGUUCCUGUCAUGCCUCCAAUUCUGCGUCCAGGUGUCCGGAACACAUUUUUUUCUGCCUUUGAAACCUUCCAGUACCUCUGGCAGAGAUAUACCAUACCCUCCUUGUUACCUGCGUGCGGAAUCUUAACUCAUCGUUGUGCUACAUCUGCACCUUCUGCCUUUGUGCCUUGUUUUGUGUUUUCCCUCCUCCGGGGAGAAUAUAAUAAACUUAGCUGAGUCCGUUCUACAUACAAGGAAAUAAUUUAUUUUCUGCUAUGUGUUUGGGGAUGGGGAUAAAAAAAUGAACAAGAAACUAGCUCCUAUCAUUAAGGCACAGAUAGCCCUUUGAAACAUUACUUAACGGGCUAUGGAUAAGCUUCAGGAUAUUGCUGAUCCCCUAAAAUUAUACGCUAACUUAAAUUUUUUUUUUUUUGAGACAGAGUCUUGCACUCUUGCCCAGGCUGGAGUGCAAUGGCAUGAUCUCGGCUCACUGCAACCUCUGCCUCCCCGGUUCAAGCGAUUCUCCUGCCUCAGCCUCCCAAAUAGCUGGGAUUAAAGGUGCCUGCCACCAUGCCCUUUUAAUGUUUUGUAUUUUUAGUAGAGACGGGGUUUCACUAUGUUGGUCAGGCUGGUCUCGAACUCCUGACAUCAUGAUCCUCCUGCCUCGACCUCCCAAAGUGCUGGGAUUACAGGCGUGAGCCACCAUGCCCGGCCUUUUUUUUUUUUUUUUUUUAAUUUGAGAUGGUGUCUCACUCUUGUCACCCAAGCUGGAGUGACGUUGCUAUCUCUGCUCACUGCCCGCCUCCCGAGCUCAGGUGAUCCUCCUGCCUCGGCCUGCCAAAUAGCUGGGACUAUAGACAUGCACCACCAAGCUGGGCUAAUUUCUGUAUAUUUUGUAGAGACGGGGUUUGGCCGUAUUGGGCACGCUGGUCUCAAACUCCUGGGUUCAAGUGAUCCACCUGCCUUAGCCUCCUAAAGUGCUGGGAUUACAGGCGUGAGCCACCAUGCCCGACCGAUAAGCUAGCUUUGUAACAUUAAUGACUAUUGAACUAAAAUAAUGUUUAUAAAUUGUUUAAAAUAUGUAUGCUUAUAAUACUAAAAGGCUUGUAAUGAAAAAAGCAGUUCCCUGUCCUACUCUUUGGAGGCAAUAUGCUCAACUCUUUCACAAAUUCAUCCUGAUAUUUACCUUCAUAAUCCCUUUCUUUCUUUCUUUCUUUCUUUCUUUCUUUCUUUCUUUCUUUCUUUCUCUCUCUGUCUUUUUCUUUCUUUCUUUCUUUCUGAUAGGGUUUCACUUUGUUACUUAGGCUGGUGUGCAGUGGCACACUCUUGGCUCACUGAAGCCCCGAUUUCCCUGGGCCCAAGCAAUCCUCCGGCCUCAGACCCCAACUAGCUGGGACUACAGGUGGCCACCAAUAUGUCCAGCUAAUUUUUGUAUUUUUAGUAGAGACAGGGUUUCACCGUGUUGCUUCGGCUGGCCUCGAACCCCUGAACUCAAGCGAUCCGCCUGCCUUAGCCUCCUAAAGUGCUAGGAUUACAAGUGUGAGUCACCGUGCCCGGCCUACCUUCAUGUUUCUAAGUAAAUGUUUAUACCAUUAUUUUUUGGUUUGUGAAUUUUUAGCAUUAUGUGUUGACUUCCUGACACGGUAGAUAAGAACUUGACUCUAUCACUUCUGCUUCCCACCAUAUAUAGCUGCGUAAUAACUUUUGGUAAAACCAAUAAUCUGCACCUAGCUGUAUUAAAAUUAUUAUGUAUGCAAAUAUUGUUUACUGAUGAGCCAAGAAAUGCACUAUAAUCAUGACUUCUAGUUUACAUGGCCCUUCAUUUUUCUUAGGGUUAAUUAUUGCCUUUUUUCUCUCAUCUGUCUGAUUUUCUGUAAACAGUAUUUACAGUUGGUUUUUCCCCUCAAAUGCUCUAAGACUAUCAAAAAGUCUAGCAAUAAUGUUUUCCAUAUACUCAAUAUAUAAGUUCCACUUUUUCUUUGGAGUUUUUGUCCCAGAGCCUUCCUUCCUCUUAUUUCAAUCUGGACUGGCUGCUCGCUAGACUUGCUGUACAGUUGUCAUUCUGGAAUUUUCCUUCAUUGUUGUUCUGGGGUGGUUUUGCCCAUUUCCUGGAUCCCAUGUCUUCCUCUUGGUUUACUUCCUUGUUUUGCUAAAGCAUCUCCUCUAAUAACUUCCUAAGAAAGGGAGAUGGGGGAUAUAUGUUGUUAGAAUCUUUGCAUAUUUGAAAAUAUGUUACUUCUAUUUAACACUUGAUGUGUUGUUGGGCUAGAUAUUCAAGUUUGAAAAUAAUUUUCCCUUUUUUUUUGAAGGUAUACUACAUUUUCUUUUUUAUUUAUUU